AGACCCGAAACCCGGUGAUCUAGCCAUGGGCAGGUUGAAGGUUGGGUAACACUAACUGGAGGACCGAACCGACUAAUGUUGAAAAAUUAGCGGAUGACCUGUGGCUGGGGGUGAAAGGCCAAUCAAACCGGGAGAUAGCUGGUUCUCCCCGAAAGCUAUUUAGGUAGCGCCUCGUGAAUUCAUCUCCGGGGGUAGAGCACUGUUUCGGCUAGGGGGCCAUCCCGGCUUACCAACCCGAUGCAAACUGCGAAUACCGGAGAAUGUUAUCACGGGAGACACACGGCGGGUGCUAACGUCCGUCGUGAAGAGGGAAACAACCCAGACCGCCAGCUAAGGUCCCAAAGUCAUGGUUAAGUGGGAAACGAUGUGGGAAGGCCCAGACAGCCAGGAUGUUGGCUUAGAAGCAGCCAUCAUUUAAAGAAAGCGUAAUAGCUCACUGGUCGAGUCGGCCUGCGCGGAAGAUGUAACGGGGCUAAACCAUGCACCGAAGCUGCGGCAGCGACGCUGAUGCGUUGUUGGGUAGGGGAGCGUUCUGUAAGCCUGCGAAGGUGGCCUGUGAGGGUUGCUGGAGGUAUCAGAAGUGCGAAUGCUGACAUAAGUAACGAUAAAGCGGGUGAAAAGCCCGCUCGCCGGAAGACCAAGGGUUCCUGUCCAACGUUAAUCGGGGCAGGGUGAGUCGACCCCUAAGGCGAGGCCGAAAGGCGUAGUCGAUGGGAAACGGGUUAAUAUUCCCGUACUUGGUGUUACUGCGAAGGGGGGACGGAGAAGGCUAUGUUGGCCGGGCGACGGUUGUCCCGGUUUAAGCGUGUAGGUGUGUGUUCCAGGUAAAUCCGGUUCACUUUAACACUGAGGCGUGAUGACGAGGCACUACGGUGCUGAAGCAACAAAUGCCCUGCUUCCAGGAAAAGCCUCUAAGCAUCAGGUAACAUCAAAUCGUACCCCAAACCGACACAGGUGGUCAGGUAGAGAAUACCAAGGCGCUUGAGAGAACUCGGGUGAAGGAACUAGGCAAAAUGGUGCCGUAACUUCGGGAGAAGGCACGCUGACACGUAGGUGAAGUGAUUUACUCAUGGAGCUGAAGUCAGUCGAAGAUACCAGCUGGCUGCAACUGUUUAUUAAAAACACAGCACUGUGCAAACACGAAAGUGGACGUAUACGGUGUGACGCCUGCCCGGUGCCGGAAGGUUAAUUGAUGGGGUCAGCGCAAGCGAAGCUCCUGAUCGAAGCCCCGGUAAACGGCGGCCGUAACUAUAACGGUCCUAAGGUAGCGAAAUUCCUUGUCGGGUAAGUUCCGACCUGCACGAAUGGCGUAAUGAUGGCCAGGCUGUCUCCACCCGAGACUCAGUGAAAUUGAACUCGCUGUGAAGAUGCAGUGUACCCGCGGCAAGACGGAAAGACCCCGUGAACCUUUACUAUAGCUUGACACUGAACAUUGAGCCUUGAUGUGUAGGAUAGGUGGGAGGCUUUGAAGUGUGGACGCCAGUCUGCAUGGAGCCGGCCUUGAAAUACCACCCUUUAAUGUUUGAUGUUCUAACGUGGACCCGUGAUCCGGGUUGCGGACAGUGUCUGGUGGGUAGUUUGACUGGGGCGGUCUCCUCCUAAAGAGUAACGGAGGAGCACGAAGGUUGGCUAAUCCUGGUCGGACAUCAGGAGGUUAGUGCAAUGGCAUAAGCCAGCUUGACUGCGAGCGUGACGGCGCGAGCAGGUGCGAAAGCAGGUCAUAGUGAUCCGGUGGUUCUGAAUGGAAGGGCCAUCGCUCAACGGAUAAAAGGUACUCCGGGGAUAACAGGCUGAUACCGCCCAAGAGUUCAUAUCGACGGCGGUGUUUGGCACCUCGAUGUCGGCUCAUCACAUCCUGGGGCUGAAGUAGGUCCCAAGGGUAUGGCUGUUCGCCAUUUAAAGUGGUACGCGAGCUGGGUUUAGAACGUCGUGAGACAGUUCGGUCCCUAUCUGCCGUGGGCGCUGGAGAACUGAGGGGGGCUGCUCCUAGUACGAGAGGACCGGAGUGGACGCAUCACUGGUGUUCGGGUUGUCAUGCCAAUGGCACUGCCCGGUAGCUAAAUGCGGAAGAGAUAAGUGCUGAAAGCAUCUAAGCACGAAACUUGCCCCGAGAUGAGUUCUCCCUGAGACUUAGAGUCUCCUGAAGGAACGUUGAAGACGAC
rnacentral:rRNA from 1 species